CUGAUAGGAUCUUUUUAGGAAAAUCUUUCUCCUCUUGUUUUAUACCCAUCAUCCCUCAAGAACUUCUGCUUCAAUCAACUUUCUUCCCGCUGAAGAUGAAGUUCCUUUUGAAGCCCUACAAAUCAAUCAAAUGGAGUUACUAUAGGCACAUGCCACCCACCAGGGCUCAGCUUAUGGCUUGUGCGCCCAGUCUCUGCCGGUCUGGGGUGCAGAAAGGUAGACCCAGAAGCAAAUUUUUGUGUAGCAAGUCUGGAGUGAUAGAACUGGGAGAGAGGAGAGGGCUCAUAGAGAAGAUAAAGAGACUUUGUUGUGGUUUUUGUUAAAAACAAAAAGAGGAAAUGUUUGUUUUCAGCAGCCAAAACAUUUCUACUCAAACCUUCCAUUUUUCAGUUGCCAGAAGUCAACAUUUUUCAGUUUUUGGGCCGAAAUUAAUGGUUUUCAGUUGCCAUGAUUUUUUCUCUCAGUUUUCUUUGAAGGCAACAUUUCAAGGACAUUGAAAAUGUUUUCAUUGUCACUUAAAUUUGUUCAUAUGACCAAAAAACAUUUCCCAACCAACCAGCUCUACUGAGGACUAAGCUAUGCCCCCAUUCAGGCACAACCCAUUACUGGGGGGAGAGGGGGCAGUGUGGCAUCACAUUGCAAUAGAGGGAACUUGAGGAGGGAGGGAUUUCCCCUGGGGAAAAAUACAUUUCCUUCCUGAACAUGCCUGGUGCACAAAAAGAUUGUGCACUAUUUUUUGGGGGGGCGGUCUCCUUCUGAAACCACUGCUUAUCCGAGCCCCUUAAAAUAAUCAGUUGUGCUAGUAUGAACAAUGCUCUAUGGACCCAAGCCACAGACCUAAUGGUGAGCUCCCAGAAUAGGAUACAGCUGCUGCAUCUGCAGUGCAGACACUGGUAAUGUGCAUCUUUCAUGCUCAGACAGUGCUCAGUAAAAGCACACUUGUAUUUUUUAUAAUGCUCAGCAACUGUUUGCUAAGUCUGGUCUAUAGCAAUGAGUUUCUAUAGAGCAGCUGAACAGAAAUCUUUUGUCACUCAUUUUGCUAUUUUUAGCAAUAUUUAGUCUGCACUAAAUCUUAACAAAUCACCAAAGUUUUUCACCUUCCAGAACAAUGCACUAUGAUAGAAAAGAUACAGAUUUCUGGGAAUCAUCCCACACAGAAAAUUGGUCCUAUUUUGUAUGUACAAUGUAGGGACCCAUUUUUUUUUUAAGGUAAAUCAGGUAGUGAAAUAUAUAUAAUUUUGAAAAGCAGUCUUUGCAGAUAUAGCAAAUUCAUUAACACUUCCCCCAGUUUUAAAGAGAAAGUGUUGCUCUCCGCAUAUCAAUGCCAGCACAAAUCAACACAAACAAUUGUUAAGUCAUUAGCAAAGACUGAACGCCAGUAGUCCUAAUGUUAAGCCUUCUGGUGCUCUCCCUGGAAUUGUUUGACUUGAUUGCAUCCGGUUACAUUUACAAUCUGUUUUCUGUUAUUGGCUGAUAGGCUGACAGCCAUUUAAAUUCUUAUUCAGAAAAAUCCAAGAGCACUCACCUUUUGCUCUCAAAAGGAUGAGUCACUGAAAUCAAUGAUUGAUGCAGGGCAUUAAAGAGAAGGGUGGAUUUCUGUGAGGUGCUGAGUACCCUCAACUGAAGACAACACCUCACAGGAUCAGGCCAUUAGCUAUUAUGAAUGAAUAGCCUCCUAGAACAGCCUGGGAGAGAUGACUUUUUUUCAUGGUGGAGUGCUAUCUGCUCUAUUCAUUUAAAAUGGAGCAGAUUGUUCCUUAUGGCUGCUCACCAGGACUGUAUGAAGUGGUAUGAGACAGUCCCAAAUAAGGAGAAGCAGGAGUGAGUGGUUCCUGUGCUGCCUCAAGAACAUACUGUUAUUGCAAGUGGCCCCAGUGCAGCCAUUCAAGGGAGGGGGGCAGGGGGGAGAAGGAAGCUUCUUACUUGCCUUUCUGCCUGUGUGUGGCCAUGAAGAGGCAACUCUCAAUCAGAGUUUGAGUUCUAGAGAAAGAGAGGUUCAAGCUUCCAUGCAGUGAAGAUUUUGGUCCUUGCUUGUAGACAAAUCCAAGUAUCAGAGCAAUAUGUCAGAAAUGGAAACACCUUCUGUAAUGAGAGAUGGCAGCCAUGCUAGUCUUAUAUCAGAUUAAACUUUCAACCAUCUGGGUCAGGAAAUAUAUAUCAGUGGUGCUGAUUUGGGAUUCAUUGAGUGUUUAAUCCAUUCACAGACUUCAGACCAACUUCAGGGAACAGAGUGGUGCACUGACCCAGUCCAUUGAAUUGGAUCUUCUGGCUAGUGACCCCUGCGAGAACUUUGACCAGAACCCUGGACUGCCUCUGAUGCAGAGUGACUUGCCAGUAUUCACAGCAUUCUGUUGUUUUAAGCUCCUGAGCAAUGACGAAUGAGGUGUAAGCAUCACUGCGCUUCUCCUUCAGAAUCACCUGCCUGACUCCGUCUCAUUGUAAAAUCAACCUACUAAUAAAAAAUUUGACUAAUCUUUCCUUCUAGAGAUGUAUAAGUCUAAACUUGGAAACAUCUGAAUAGAUUUAGGAGCCAUUUUGGUUUGGAACUAAGAAUUCAAACAUGCAUCCAUAGCUUUGAGGUGUGUGAAAGAGAACAGAGCAUGUAGGAAGGAGGUUAUUCUGGAGAUGGGUCUGCUUCCAAGUUAUUCAGAAUUAAACUAAAUUAGCCAUUUUAUCAAGUAAUUACAAUAGCUCAAUUGGAACCUCCCUGAGUAACACUUUUGUUAGCAUGGGUUUCACAUUUUGACCUUCUGUUAAUGUAAUGUUUAAUUAAAUGUAUGAAAACUAGUUUUAUAAUUGCUUCUUCCUUUGCAUGUUCUCUUGUGAUCUCUACUGCAAAUGUUGUGUAAAUGUG